rnacentral:lncRNA from 1 species
UGGAUUCUGGCAGGCCCCUUGGGGCCUCGGAGCUCUGCGGCCGACCGGAGGAACCACUGCUGGAGGCUCCCGGCAGAGUAAGGUAAUCCCAAGGCCACAGGGACGUCCCGACACGUGCCAGGAGUCCCUCUCUGUGCCUGGGAGCAGCUCCCCGU